GGUCCCGCCUGCCAGUGACCAACCACUUUAAACGGCCGCGGUAUCCUAACCGUGCAAAGGUAGCGUAAUCACUUGUCCCCUAAAUAGGGACUAGUAUGAACGGCUAAAUGAGGGCCCAACUGUCUCCUUUGAUUAAUCAGUGAAAUUGAUCCACCCGUACAAAAGCUGGUAUACACCCAUAAGACGAGAAGACCCUGUGGAGCUUAAAAUGCUUAAGUCAAAAUAACAGCACAACCAAAAAUGACAUAACAUUUUCAGUUGGGGCGACUACGGAAAUAAACCAAACUUCCAAGCCAAGAGCCAACCCGCUCUACCACAGACAAACAUGUCGAACUACCACCUGACCCAGAACCACUCUGAGUAACGAACCAAGUUACCCCAGGGAUAACAGCGCCAUCUUCUUCAAGAGUCCCCAUCGACAAGAAGGUUUACGACCUCGAUGUUGGAUCAGGACACCCAAAUGGUGCAGCCGCUAUUAAAGGUUCGUUUGUUCAACGAUUAAAGUCCUACGUGAUC
rnacentral:rRNA from 1 species